rnacentral:rRNA from 1 species
CAGCCGCGGGAAUACAGAGGGUGCGAGCGUUAAUCGGAUUUACUGGGCGUAAAGCGUGCGUAGGCGGCUUCUUAAGUCGGAUGUGAAAUCCCUGAGCUUAACUUAGGAAUUGCAUUCGAUACUGGGAAGCUAGAGUAUGGGAGAGGAUGGUAGAAUUCCAGGUGUAGCGGUGAAAUGCGUAGAGAUCUGGAGGAAUACCGAUGGCGAAGGCAGCCAUCUGGCCUAAUACUGACGCUGAGGUACGAAAGCAUGGGGAGCAAACAGGAUUAGAGACCCGGGUAGUCCCUGUCUCUUAUACACU